rnacentral:tRNA from 1 species
GAAAAAGUAGCUAAGCUGGUCAAAAGCUAUAGAUUGUAAAUCUAUUGACAUAUGUCUUCGUAGGUUCGAAUCCUGCCUUUUUCU